rnacentral:tRNA from 10 species
AGCCGGAAUAGCUCAGUUGGUAGAGCAGAGGACUGAAAAUCCUCGUGUC